rnacentral:misc_RNA from 1 species
UCUCCGUUGGUGAACCAGCGGAGGGAUCAUUACCGAGUUUUUCUACUCCCAAACCCCUGUGAACUUAUACCUUUACUGUUGUUUCGGCGGGUUAACGCCCCGGAAGGCCCAAAAAGCCGCCGGAACCAGGCGCCCGCCGGGGGAUCCAAACUCUUGUAUUUCUUACUUUGCAUGUCUGAGUGGAAUCAUAAACAAAUGAAUCAAAACUUUCAACAACGGAUCUCUUGGUUCUG